rnacentral:rRNA from 1 species
UCCUACGGGAGGCAGCAGUGAGGAAUAUUGGUCAAUGGGCGGGAGCCUGAACCAGCCAAGUCGCGUGAGGGAAGACGGUCCUAUGGAUUGUAAACCUCUUUUGUCGGGGAGCAAAGCGGCCACGUGUGGUCAAAAGCGAGAGUACCCGAAGAAAAAGCAUCGGCUAACUCCGUGCCAGCAGCCGCGGUAAUACUCCGUGCCAGCAGCCGCGGUAAU